CAGCAGUGGGGAUAUUGGACAAUGGGGGCAACCCUGAUCCAGCCAUGCCGCGUGUGUGAAGAAGGCCUUUUGGUUGUAAAGCACUUUAAGCAGUGAAGAAGACUCCAUGGUUAAUACCCAUGGACGAUGACAUUAGCUGCAGAAUAAGCACCGGCUAACUCUGUGCCAGCAGCCGCGGUAAUACAGAGGGUGCAAGCGUUAAUCGGAAUUACUGGGCGUAAAGCGAGCGUAGGUGGCUUGAUAAGUCAGAUGUGAAAGCCCCGGGCUUAACCUGGGAACGGCAUCUGAUACUGUUAGGCUAGAGUAGGUGAGAGGAAGGUAGAAUUCCAGGUGUAGCGGUGAAAUGCGUAGAGAUCUGGAGGAAUACCGAUGGCGAAGGCAGCCUUCUGGCAUCAUACUGACACUGAGGUUCGAAAGCGUGGGUAGCAAACAGGAUUAGAUACCCUGGUAGUCCACGCCGUAAACGAUGUCUACUAGUCGUUGGGUCCCUUGAGGACUUAGUGACGCAGCUAACGCAAUAAGUAGACCGCCUGGGGAGUACGGCCGCAAGGUUAAAACUCAAAUGAAUUGACGGGGCC
rnacentral:rRNA from 1 species